rfam:Nicotiana sylvestris Nsyl_contig75257, whole genome shotgun sequence.
UUGGGUGUUCUAUCCAUGACCAGGAUGAAGCUUGGGUAAAAUUAAGUGGAGGUCCGACCGAUUGAUGUUGAAGAAUCAGCGGGUGAGUUAUGGUUAGAGGUGAAAUGCCACUCGCACUCAAAGCUAG